UACAUGACCGCCAUGUCUAUCUUUCUUCUCUUCUCAAAACAACUAGAGUUUUCUUUUAUUAAUUAAAAAACACCUAGUAGCCCUUUUACAGUUUCAAUUCAAUUUCCUUUCUCUCUGGUUGAUAGAGAUGAAAAAACCAAAACCCCUUUUUUCUUAUUCCAACAUCUCUCUCUACUCAUCUCUUUUUGAGAACAAGAAGACGAUUGCAAUUUGAGUUUUGUUGGCAGAUAGAUCAGACGAUGGUUCACAAUAUUUUAUUGGGGUCAAGGAUGGUUGAUUGAGUGGACGAUAGCUUACCCCCACCACCAGUCUUCCUAAUUUUCUUGGGAGCUUUGUCAAGCUCCUCGCCAGGUUUGCGCCUUUUUUUGGUUUAUAUUUAAAAAAUGGAAGAAAGAUGCACAACACAUUAAACUCCUUGUAUUGUUCUAUUAGUGUUUUUAUUUUAUUUUAUUCUUUAUUCUUUUAAUUAUUUUUAAUACUAUAAUUUUAAUUCUCAUAAAUUGGCAUCCAAUUCAAUACUGAGAUUUCACUGAACUCCUUGUAUUGUCAAUAAUAUGAAAGAAGAAGAGAAUAUCAACACAUUAAACUCCAUAAACAUCACUUGAAAGGAUGGAAUUGACAAAAAAGCAAAGUUCAAGGAUUAAAAUAAAAAUUAAAAAAGGCAAUGCUCAAUGAUUAGUGUUGACCACAGUGAAAGCAAAAAGCUUUGAGUUUUAUAUCCGUUUAGCAAGGGGGAGCUCUCGAGUUCGACUCCCAAUAAUACAAGAAAGGUCCUUUUCUUAGGGGAAAGUUAAUUUUCUUUUUUAUGAACAAUAUGAAUUAUCAAAUAAAACUAAAGGCAGUUAAAACAAAUAUUCCUAAAAAUUCUAAUGAUUUGAAUUAAAAAGAAAAAAAAUUAAUCAAAAACUUCAUUUUCUUAUUCACAUUUUGUUUUUGAAAAGAUGUUUUUUUUAUUUAUUAGAAGCAUUGUUUUUUAAAUAAAAAAUUAUUAUAAUCGUUAAAUGAAGUUAAAAAAAAAACAUGAACCGAUCAUUUCUAUAUAAAUAAAUCUAAUAAUAACAUAUUUAGAAAAAAAUCAUAUAAAAAAAUAAAAUAAAUAUUCUAUUCUUAGUGAAUAUAAUGAUCAAAACUUUCAAAAAAUUAUAUAUAUUAGAGUAAUAUAUAAUUGAUCAUAAAGUCAUUAUACCAUAAAAAGUUCUAAUGCUAUAGAAAACUAUUGCAUGAUUGAAUAAUUAUUUAAAAUAGAUUUUUAACCGGCACUAUGUUGUGGGCUAACCAAAAAACUUUUCAAUGUAUAAAAAGAAUGCUAAGACAAAAAAUUAAGACCUGAGUUAUUGGUUCAAUUGAUAAUUUAAAUUAUAUAAAUAAAAAAUUCAACAAAAAAAAAUAAAUUGAUAAAAAAAAAACUUGACCUAAAUCCAUCUAGAUUAUUAAAUAACCAAACGUUGAAAGGUAAAAUUAAAAAAAAAAUUAAAAACAAAACAAAUGCCUGAGUUAAACAAGGUUAACUAAAAAAUUUCACAACUAUGGGUAUAAGAUUGAGAGAAUCUCAUACAAAGAAAAGCAGGAAAAAAUUCGAUGACCAAUUCCUAGUAAAUCAAAUGAGAACAUGAUAACUUCAUAUAAAAAAAAACUGAAGUUCAAUCUCUGGCAUAUAAAAUGUUAAAAAAAGAAAAUUAAAAAAAAAACAUAAUUAAAAAAAGGUUGAAAAAACUCGAUCCGAGCUUCACUGAGUCAAGAUUCAAAAUCUCUAACCCAGUUAUGAUACCAAGUUAACUCCAUUCAAAAGCAAAUUGAAUAAAAUUAUGAAACUUAAUUAUCGAAUAAUCUAAUGUAGAAGGAAGAAAAUGAAAAAAAGAACUUUAAUUAAAAAAGCAACAGAAAAAAAUAUGAAUCAACCUGAGUUAACUCGUUAACCCUAUGAUCAUGAACACACGAUCUGGAUAACCUAAUAGAAAUGAAAGAGAAAACAUUACGAAGAUCAAUUAACAAUAAAUCAAAUGUUGAAAGACAGAAUUGAAAUAUAUUAAUUUUAAAAAAGAACAAAAAAAAAAACAAAAGUCAACAUGUGUUAACCUUUGAAAUCGGUGACCCUAAUCAUGGACCCGAGACUAACUCCAUUGAGGGCAAACCAUAAAAAAAUAACAAAGCAAAACUCUAAACAAAUAAGAAAACAUGAGCUUAAAAAAACAAAAUAAUAAUAAUAAUUAAGCAAACUAGGGUAAUCCUUUUAAACCUGAUCUAAUUUCUAAAACUCGUUAUCCAUAAAAUAUUAGAUUUGAAUUCAAUCAAGAAGUUUCAUUUCCAACCAAUUUAAUUUUAAAGAAUAAAAUUGUGAAAAACAUUAUCAAUAUAAAAAACUUGCCAAUGCUAAAAAGUUAGCAAUAAAAAGAUUGAAGAUCAAAUUCGAUUUAAAAAAAACCCAAGGAGGAUGAAAUUGUAAAAAAAUCUAAAAAAUGAUCCCAAACAAAACAAAUAGCAAUCAAAGGAAUAAGUAUCAAAUUUGAAAGAUUAAAAAAAAUGAUAGGGGGUGCAAUUGAAAAACAUUUGUGAUUUGAUAGAUUAUUUAUAGAUUAAAGAUGGUAGGGGUGCAAUUGAAAAAUAUUUAUAAUUUUAUAAAUUAUUGAAAAUUAAAAAAUAAUAAUUAAAAGAACAAUGACCAAAUAAAAAGAAAAAAUAAAUUGUAGGGGCCGGUUUGGAUUCUUCAAGGGACUAGCGCUAGAUUUGAUGAAGAGAGAGAGAGAGAAAGAAAAAAAAAAUGAUUGCAAUGCCAAACUAGAGGUGCGCUCAUUGACGCGUCGUCCCAUCACAUAGGAGGUGUCGAAACUUUUCAAACCCCAUUGUAUAGGAGGCGUCCCAUUUGUGAGAGAGUUAUACUAAAAUGUGCCCGAUCGACCUCUUUUUCUCUUUUUUAUUUUUUUGAUGACUUUCUUUGUUCUCUUUCAAUGUUCAUAAACAUCAAGGACCAACUAUAGUAUAAACUAAGAAUUCAGGGAAUAAAAUGUAGUUUUAUGUACCUUUUCAACAUUCAGCUCUGUUUUAUUUUUUUUUGUUUAUUUUGAUUUUUAUUAUUUUUAUUUAUUUUUUUAAUUACAAUUGAAAAUUAUAUUUUAUAAAAUUAAUCUUUAAUAUAAUAUCAAAAAUUCCUUGAUCCUUUGCACAUGUGAGAGUAUACAAGAAAAAAAAAAAAACUUUGACACAUAAAACUACGCAAAUAUAACUUUGUAGAACGAAGAAAGUCAUCCCUAAUGUUAUGUUAUUUAAGGGAGUAAACAGUGCAGCACUGUUCUGUUUUUAUAGUUGCUGUAAUUUCAAAGGACAUGCUCAAAGGAAUUUUACAUCCAUGACUCAUGUAAACAUGCCUGUUGAGUAGGAAACAUGAUAAUCAACAAGAUUACAAUUCUGGAGUAAUUAUAUCUCAGACUUAUUCGUCUAACUUAUCGGACAACUUCCAAUGACUGUCUUAGCUUCUUCCAAUUCUGCUGGAUGUGGACUAUUACUGCUAGCACAACCAUUAUUAUUACAACUGCAGACUUUCUAAACUCAGAAGUACUCUCCGGGCUCACAAAUUCUGAAUCUUGGAAUUUGGAGUCUAGAAAAGGAUUGCUGAUAUAGUCGUAAAGAUGCAGAACAAGCCUAAUCAAGGAUGAAACAGCAUGUCUCGAUGCCCAUUUACAGAUAACCAUAUAAGAACACCUGUGUGUACAGCCGAAGUACUUAGAAGGACCAGUUUAUUGUGAGGAACCCAAAGAUGUUUCAUCUUGGAAGUACAAAGUGGUUUGUUCUGAUAUUUGUACACCAUCAGGAAAAUCCUUGAAGUGAGAAGCAAAGAAACCAAAACAAGAAAUCUUCCAGCAUAGUCGAGGACUUUUGGCAACAGCCCAUACCAAUCAAGAUCAUAAGACGAAGAUAUGAAGAGAAUUUCAGCACUACUGAGCAAUGGAAGGCUAUAACCAAGAACCUGAAGAGCAAGCAUGACAAGAGAUACAUAAGGAAUAACAUUUGUUUGUUUCUUCACAUAGUGGAGUUGGAUCCAUGUCAUUGCAAUUACCCCACUAAGCAACAGAAUUCGAAGAAUCCCUUCAAAUGUUCUUCGAAAGGCCACAGUCAAUGUAUGGUUUUGAUAAUGAGGCAAGCUUACAGGGCCAAAAUAUAAGGGGUGAUCUUCACCCAUUCGAUAGAGUGAGUGGUCUUGACAAGGAGUCUUGUUAGUCAGCAAGCUAACAGGGCCAAAAUAUAGGGGAUCAUCUCGACCCCUUUGGCUGGUGAUGGUGAUUUUGGUAUGUUCCAUGUUUUCAGAGGGAUACUGAAUUUCAACUUCAAUCAAACAAUCUAGGCCCCGUUCUACACCAGUGCCUCCGACUGCAACCUUUCUGCAGCCAAUAAGAUGCAUCUCACCAAUAACUGGAUCAUAUAUACCUUCCAAGAACACCUGUGAGAUAUUCCUGUAAGAUAUCAUGGUAAAUUCCCGAGUUUCUUCUUUCAAUUCUCUGAAAAUAAGAUGUGUUGAGACAUUCAGAAGCUGUCUGUUGGUGAAGGUGACAUUAGCUGUUGUAUUGACUGCAACCUCCCUUGAACCAUCUUCGUGGAAGUGUUCAAUUAGUGGACCUAGCGAAAGUACCUCCAUACGAAUGGAGAUACGUGUACCAAGACCAUCAGGUAGCUGAUCAGGGGCAAUACAGCCAUCAACGAGGAGCUCAUAGGAGAAAGAAUCAAGCUGAGCUCGUGAUUCUGCUCCUUUUAGAGCGGGAUACCUCGACAGAGAAUGGCUGAGGGUAGUGAAACGCUGAGCUCGCUUUUUAAAGGAACUAGCCAGACUAAGCUUUGAGUAAUUGUAUGACAAGUAACGGGUAUUAUACGAAUAGAAUGGGUUCCUCAAAUAUGAAGGUUGCAUCACUAAAUCAAAAAGAAGAUGAUAGUUUGAGCUUACUCCAUCUCUUAUGUUAGAUAUGCUUCCGAACACUAAACUCCUCUGCUUGAUCGACAAUGCUCGAGGAAAAUAGAGUGAUAUCCGUAAAGUGCAUCGUUUGAGUUCUGAAUCAUCUCCAGUACGACAACCAAGCAUGCAAAGUUUCCCGCUUGAAGGAUUCCACCUCCCCUCAGCAUUGAAAACCAAGCCUGAAAGACCGGUCAAUGUUCGUGCUAAAUUUGGAUCCAUUUCUGCAGGAAUUACUCUCAGCACCGCUGAAACUUCUGCACCAUGACUGUCAUUUGAAGUUGCUUGACUGCAUUGGACAUGUUGCAAUAUGAGCUUAAUAUGUUUGUAACUCAAAUUCAUGUGCCCAAUGUCCUUCCCAAAUAAGACGGCUGUCAAUUUUCUGUCCUCUACAUAA